rnacentral:rRNA from 1 species
GGCCCCGUAAUCGGAAUGAGUACACUUUAAAUCCUUUAACAAGGAUCCAUUGGAGGGCAAGUCUGGUGCCAGCAGCCGCGGUAAUUCCAGCUCCAAUAGCGUAUAUUAAAGUUGUUGCGGUUAAAAAGCUCGUAGUUGGUUCUGCGUGCCGCGCUGUCGGUUCGCCGCCUGUCGGUGUAACUGGCAUGUCGCGGCAUGUCCUGUCGGUGGUGAACGGAGUCCACGACGCUACAUGGGCUUUAUAGUCGAUGUUAGCAUCGUGUGUACUUCCGUUGGCCGAUCUCUCCUACUUCGGUGCUCUUAAACGAGUGUCGAGGUAGGCCGACACGUUCACUUUGAACAAAUUAGAGUGCUUAAAGCAGGCUGAAAUAUCUGCCUGAAUAGUGGUGCAUGGAAUGAUAAAACAGGACCUCGGUUCUAUUUUGUUGGUUUUAGGAAUAUGAGGUAAUGAUCAAUGUGGACUGGCGGGGGCAUUCGUAUUGCGACGUUAGAGGUGAAAUUCUUGGAUCGUCGCAAGACGCACUAGAGCGAAAGCAUUUGCCAAGUAUGUCUUAAUUGAUCAAGAACGAAAGUUAGAGGUUCGAAGGCGAUCAGAUACCGCCCUAGUUCUAACCAUAAACGAUGCCAGCCAGCGAUCCGCCGAUGUUCCUUUAAUGACUCGGCGGGGAGCUUCCACCCGGGAAACCAAAGCUUUUGGGUUCCGGGGGAAGUAUGGUUGCAAAGCUGAAACUUAAAGGAAU